rnacentral:rRNA from 1 species
AACGAACGCUGGCGGCAGGCUUAACACAUGCAAGUCGAACGCAUCCUUCGGGGUGAGUGGCAGACGGGUGAGUAACGCGUGGGAACGUGCCCUUCAGUUCGGGAUAACCCAGGGAAACUUGGGCUAAUACCGGAUACGUGCGAGAGCAGAAAGAUCUAUCGCUGAAGGAUCGGCCCGCGUCUGAUUAGCUAGUUGGUGGAGUAAUGGCCCACCAAGGCGACGAUCAGUAGCUGGUCUGAGAGGAUGAUCAGCCACACUGGGACUGAGACACGGCCCAGACUCCUACGGGAGGCAGCAGUGGGGAAUAUUGGACAAUGGGCGCAAGCCUGAUCCAGCCAUGCCGCGUGAGUGAUGAAGGCCUUAGGGUUGUAAAGCUCUUUCAGUGGGGACGAUAAUGACGGUACCCGCAGAAGAAGCCCCGGCUAACUUCGUGCCAGCCGCCGCGGUAA